rnacentral:rRNA from 1 species
AGACUCUCGGCAACGGAUAUCUCGGCUCUUGCAUCGAUGAAGAACGUAGCGAAAUGCGAUACUUGGUGUGAAUUGCAGAAUCCCGUGAACCAUCGAGUCUUUGAACGCAAGUUGCGCCCGAAGCCAUUAGGCCGAGGGCACGCCUGCCUGGGUGUCG